rnacentral:rRNA from 1 species
AUUGAACGCUGGCGGCAUGCCUUACACAUGCAAGUCGAACGGCAGCGCGGGGCAACCUGGCGGCGAGUGGCGAACGGGUGAGUAAUAUAUCGGAACAUACCCUAGAGUGGGGAUAACGUAGCGAAAGUUACGCUAAUACCGCAUACGCACUAAGGUGGAAAGUGGGGGAUUCGCAAGAACCUCAUGCUCAUGGAGUGGCCGAUAUCUGAUUAGCUAGUUGGUGAGGUAAAGGCUCACCAAGGCGACGAUCAGUAGCUGGUUUGAGAGAACGACCAGCCACACUGGAACUGAGACACGGUCCAGACUCCUACGGGAGGCAGCAGUGGGGGAUUUUGGACAAUGGGGGGCAACCCUGAUCCAGCAAUGCCGCGUGAGUGAAG